AACAGCGUCUGGUUGGUCAAAGGGAAGGAAGCACGGACCAUAAACAGAAGCAGAAGUUAGAGAAAAGCUCUCAUCUAAUAUUCACAUGUUGUCUCUGCAUUUCCACAUUUCUGCGCAUGUUUCACACCUUUGAAGCCGUCUGCUGACACGAAGCGUUUCUCACAGCAGAGAGUCAGAGUGUCACAGUGGACGUGAGGAUGGGACACACUUUGUUUGCUGUGUUGGGCCUUUUCUCGCUGAAUAUUCUCCUCUACUGUGGACACGCUCAAGAUGCUUUGCUGCAUUUUGAGCCAAACUGGUCCCCUUUAUUUACUGGAGAGAAAGUUACCUUCACAUGUGACUCAAGGGAAGGAAACAAUGCUGACUGGUAUUAUGCAUUCAGAAGGAAUGGUCAGUGGACCCCUUACGGAGCAGCAAAUACAUAUACACUAUCAUCUCUAACUACAGGAGAUAGUGGUGAAUAUCAGUGUGUUGCUGAUCACAAGACGUAUUCCUACUAUCAAAGACAAAGUAAUAAAGUCUCUCUAAGUG